UACGAGAGGUGCAAGCGUUAUUCGGAAUCAUUGGGCGUAAAGGGUGCGUAGGCGGUUUGUUAAGUUUGUUGUUAAAGACUCUGGCCUAACUGGAGAAAAGCAAUAAAAACUGGCAAACUAGAGAGUGAAAGAGAGAAGUGGAAUUCCCGGAGUAGCGGUAAAAUGCGUAGAUCUCGGGAGGAACACCAAUGGCGAAGGCGGCUUCUUGGUGCACAUCUGACGCUGAGGCACGAAAGCGUGGGGAGCAAACAGG
rnacentral:rRNA from 1 species